UACGAAGGGGGCUAGCGUUGUUCGGAAUUACUGGGCGUAAAGGGUGUGUAGGUGGAAUAGUAAGUUAGAAGUGAAAUUUCGAGGCUCAACCUCGAGGCUGCUUCUAAAACUGCUAAUCUCGAGUUUGAUAGGGGGUAACGGAACUACUAGUGUAGAGGUAAAAUUCUUAGAUAUUAGUAGGAACACCGAUGGCGAAGGCGGUUACCUGGAUCACAACUGACACUAAAGCACGAAAACGUGGGGAGCAAACAGG
rnacentral:rRNA from 1 species